rnacentral:ncRNA from 2 species
AGGGUCGCUCCCGCAUGCGGUUCCGCAUCCUGCGGAUGAAAAGGGAACCCGGUGCGAUCUCCUGGCGGGAUCAAUUCCGGGGCUGCCCUCGCAACUGUAAGCGGCAAGUUCUUCCAAUGCCACUGGCCAGAGCCGGGAAGGCGGAGCGAACGUCCGAGCCGCGAGCCAGGAGACCUGCCUCAUGCAUUGACCAUGA